rnacentral:rRNA from 2 species
CGAAUCGAUGGGAGCUUGCUCCCUGAGAUUAGCGGCGGACGGGUGAGUAACACGUGGGCAACCUGCCUAUAAGACUGGGAUAACUUCGGGAAACCGGAGCUAAUACCGGAUACGUUCUUUUCUCGCAUGAGAGAAGAUGGAAAGACGGUUUCGGCUGUCACUUAUAGAUGGGCCCGCGGCGCAUUAACUAGUUGGUGAGGUAAUGGCUCACCAAGGCGACGAUGCGUAACCGACCUGAGAGGGUGAUCGGCCACACUGGGACUGAAACACGGCCCAGACUCCUACGGGAGGCAGCAGUAGGGAAUCUUCCGCAAUGGACGAAAGUCUGACGGAACAACGCCGCGUGAACGAAGAAGGCCUUCGGGUCGUAAAGUUCUGUUGUUAGGGAAGAACAAGUACCAGAAUAACUGCUGGUACCUUGACGGUACCUAACCAGAAAGCCACGGCUAACUACGUGCCAGCAGCCGCGGUAAUACGUAGGUGGCAAGCGUUGUCCGGAAUUAUUGGGCGUAAAGCGCGCGCAGGUGGUUCCUUAAGUCUGAUGUGAAAGCCCACGGCUCAACCGUGGAGGGUCAUUGGAAACUGGGGAACUUGAGUGCAGAAGAGGAAAGUGGAAUUCCAAGUGUAGCGGUGAAAUGCGUAGAGAUUUGGAGGAACACCAGUGGCGAAGGCGACUUUCUGGUCUGUAACUGACACUGAGGCGCGAAAGCGUGGGGAGCAAACAGGAUUAGAUACCCUGGUAGUCCACGCCGUAAACGAUGAGUGCUAAGUGUUAGAGGGUUUCCGCCCUUUAGUGCUGCAGCUAACGCAUUAAGCACUCCGCCUGGGGAGUACGGCCGCAAGGCUGAAACUCAAAGGAAUUGACGGGGGCCCGCACAAGCGGUGGAGCAUGUGGUUUAAUUCGAAGCAACGCGAAGAACCUUACCAGGUCUUGACAUCCUCUGACAACCCUAGAGAUAGGGCGUUCCCCUUCGGGGGACAGAGUGACAGGUGGUGCAUGGUUGUCGUCAGCUCGUGUCGUGAGAUGUUGGGUUAAGUCCCGCAACGAGCGCAACCCUUGAUCUUAGUUGCCAGCAUUCAGUUGGGCACUCUAAGGUGACUGCCGGUGACAAACCGGAGGAAGGUGGGGAUGACGUCAAAUCAUCAUGCCCCUUAUGACCUGGGCUACACACGUGCUACAAUGGAUGGUACAAAGGGCUGCAAACCUGCGAAGGUAAGCGAAUCCCAUAAAGCCAUUCUCAGUUCGGAUUGUAGGCUGCAACUCGCCUACAUGAAGCCGGAAUUCGCUAGUAAUCGCGGAUCAGCAG